rnacentral:rRNA from 1 species
UAGGGGGACUCCGAGUGCGAGGGCAUAUAGUCCUCGCUUUUCUGCACCGUAAGGUGGUACAGGAACAAGUGCUGGGCAAGACCGGUGCCAGCCGCCGCGGUAAUACCGGCAGCACGAGUGAUGGCCGCUAUUAUUGGGCCUAAAGCGUCCGUAGCCGGCCGGUCAAGUUCGUCGGGAAAUCUGCCCGCUUAACGGGCAGGCGUCCGGCGAAAACUGAUCGGCUUGGGGCCAGAAGACCUGAGGGGUACGUCCGGGGUAGGAGUGAAAUCCCGUAAUCCUGGACGGACCACCGGUGGCGAAAGCGCCUCAGGAAGAUGGACCCGACGGUGAGGGACGAAAGCUGGGGUCUCGAACCGGAUUAGAUACCCGGGUAGUCCUAGCCGUAAACGAUGCUCACUAGGUGUGGCGCAGGCUACGAGCCUGCGCUGUGCCGUAGGGAAGCCGUGAAGUGAGCCGCCUGGGAAGUACGUCCGCAAGGAUGAAACUUAAAGGAAUUGGCGGGGGAGCACUACAACCGGAGGAGCCUGCGGUUUAAUUGGACUCAACGCCGGACAUCUCACCAGCACCGACAGUAGUUGUGACGGUCAGGUUGAUGACCUUACCCGAGCUACUGAGAGGAGGCGCAUGGCCGCCGUCAGCUCGUACCGUGAGGCGUCCUGUUAAGUCAGGCAACGAGCGAGACCCGCACUCCUAGUUGCCAGCAGCAUCUCGCGAUGGCUGGGUACACUAGGAGGACUGCCGCUGCCAAAGCGGAGGAAGGAACGGGCAACGGUAGGUCAGUAUGCCCCGAAUGUGCUGGGCAACGCGCGGGCUACAAUGGCCGGGACAAUGGGAAGCCACCCCGAGAGGGGGCGCUAAUCUCCCAAACCCGGUCGUAGUUCGGAUUGCGGGCUGCAACUCGCCCGCAUGAAGCUGGAUUC